CACACAGAAGAGCUAUAAUAUUGUGGCCUCAGCUCUCCAGUCAUCCAUCUCACCCCUGAGAGAUCUGGACCUCAGCUACAAUAACCUGGGAGAUUCAGGAGUGGAACUGCUCUGUGCUGGACUGAGGAGUCCAAACUGUAAACUACAGAGACUGGGACUGAACAACUGUGAACUCACACAGAAGUGCUAUAAUAUUGUGGCCUCAGCUCUCCAGUCAUCCAUCUCACCCCUGAGAGAUCUGGACCUCAGCUACAAUAACCUGGGAGAUUCAGGAGUGGAACUGCUCUGUGCUGGACUGAGGAGUCCAAACUGUAAACUACAGAGACUGGGACUGAACAGCUGUGACCUUACAACAAACUCCUGUGAUAUUGUGGCCUCAGCUCUCCAGUCAUCAAACUCACCCCUGAGAGAUCUGGACCUCAGCUACAAUAACCUGGGAGAUUCAGGAGUGGAGCUGCUCUGCGCUGGACUGAUGGGUCCAAACUGUAAACUACAUAGACUGGGGUGAGUAGUGCUGUGUACUGUGUGACUUUAAAUUAGUAGAAUUUGUGAUGAUGUGUGUAAGAGUG